GCUACAUGAAAAGCAGUUUUUUCUGGAAGAAGGAUUUCCACAUUCAUUUUUUUAAGUUAGCAUUGAAAAGAGCAAGAAGAAAAUGCUGUUGAAGUACCAGGGAAAAUUUGGAACACAUCUGAUAGAAACUCUUGAUGACUUAUCUCAAGAUGAUCUAGAUUUUUCAGAACGUGAUGUUAUGAUUGUGAAUUAAAGAAAACUAAUUCAAAGAAGAGUUGUUAGAUGUUACAUCAGAUGUAGAAGGAAGAGGAAGAUGAGGAAGUAAGAAAAUAUAUUUGGGGAGAAGCAGGAGUGAGGAGAUUAGAAAAUAAGCUAAUAGACAUAGAAGAAAAGGAGAAAAAAAAAGUUGAAGAGGAUAAAAUUGAGCAAGCACUGGAUAGAUGAGAUAUUAAUAUAAUAAGUAAGGAAGAGAGUUAGAUGAUUGGAUGAAUAAGGUAGUAAAGCAAAAGAGAUCAAAUUAAAGCAGAUUAUCAAAUAAAUGGGAAUAAGAAAAAAAGCAAAGAAUAUAAAAGAGAGGAAAUGAAAUGUGAGAAGAUAUGCAAGGAGAAAAAAACAGGAAUGGGAAAAGAAAAAAGAGCAAAGGAUUUAAAAGGUGAAGAUAGAACAGGAUCUAUAGCAAUUAAUAAAUAAGGAUAGAAAUUAAUAAAAAAUAAGAGGAAAUUAACUAGAAAAUAAUAAUGCUUUAAACUACUGAUUUGUUUGCAAUGUGAUAUUAUUGGAUUUUUUUAAUUUCUUAAAUUUGUAUUUUGAAUUUAAGCAGUGUACAUUGGUGUGGUGGUUUUUAAUACAAGUUAAAGAAAUAUAUUAAAAUAUUUAUUAAUUUUAUUCCUAAUACAAAAUACUCAAAGCAUAGGAACUUUGACUUUUGAUGCUGUAUCUUUAAUAUCUGGAGAGAACCUUGAAGAUAUUUGAUAUUAAGGGUUAAAUAAUGCAUCACGUAUUAAAUUUAUUUUUCCUUGUUUUUUAACACUUAUUUUGAGUCAGUUACAUCUUAUUUUAUUGUCUGAUACAUUACCCGUGUAAUAUAUUUUUUUCAAACAUUUUUCUUCAGUAUUGAUUGUUUCAUUAUUGUUCAGAAUUGACCUGAACUGUUUUUAUAAUAUGCAGUAAAAGAAGAAGGAAAAUUACCCAUUUCAUAACAUUCCAUUUUUGCAUAAAAUGAGAAUUACUAAAUAGCGGCCCUCCAGUGGCAUGCGGUAUGUCUGUGGACUUACAGCCCUAGAAACCGGGUUUUGAUAACCCGUGGUGGACAGAGCACAGAUAGCCCAUUAUGUAGCUUUGUGCUUAACUUUAAACAAACAAACAAAAUACUAAAUAGUGACUUACAAAAAGUUUGUGUUUUAAAUUAAUCACAAUGUUAAUGUGAAAUACAAGUGAAACAAAUGUGUGGAAUUUGAGUGCAUUAUAAUACAUUCUUUUACUUAAGCAUGAGAUAAUACACUUGAUGAUAAUUUCAUGUAACUUUUGAGGCUGACUUAGUUCUCAGCUUCUGUUUCUCUAGACUUUGGUUGUUAGGUAAGCUAGAGUAUAGAGUAUACAUGUAAUGACUGUUUGAGAUAGAUUCAUAUGAAGUUGAUUCAUAGCAAUUUGUAUUCAUAAGACUCGUGGUAAUUUUGAUUUAUAAUCCAAUUUAAAUAAACUUUAAUUCCAUCCAUUUUUUUUCUCUGAAGAUUUAUUUGAAAAACUAAUUAAAUCCCACAGAUUGUUAGUUUCACUAAAACGCAAGUGUACAUGUGCUCCUAUUAAAACAAUAUGUAACUGAACAGAAAUUUAUGAUUUUCAGUUACUUGUAGAUUAAUAAGGUAUUUAAUGCUUGUUUGUUUUUGUUCUUUGUAUAGUGUAAUACAAAAACAAGUCUCUUGAAUAUGUAUUUCUGAUUACAUAUGAAGAAAGCUGUAGUGGUAAGUGUUAAUUUCAACAUGGCACUGUGUGUUCAGCUACAGAGAACUCUGAAAAGGAUUAAAGUUUAACUUCAAUUCCUGUUUAAAGUUUCAUAAUUUAAGACAUUUUCAUUAUUGACAAACAUUCAACUAAACCUUCCAGACUUAAGUGAGGAACAGUGACUGAUGAAUUUAAGUUCAAAAUGGCAACAGCAUCCAUGUGAUCUGAAUCUUUGUAUACCAUUCAUUAACUUAUUUGUGAUACACAAAAGUAAUUUAGAAAUGCUUAAUGUCCAGAUAUGAAAAGUUAAUGUUCAUUAUAAUUAAUAAUUCAGCAUAUGAAAUAUGCAUAGCACAUAGUCUGAUUCAUUUAAUUUUUUAUACAAGAUUGACUGAUAACUCCACAAGUUAGGCAUCAAAAGUAAAGCCACUAUCAUAUGAUACCAUAUAAAUUAUAAUCUUGUUAGAAUUAACUUGAAUUUCAAGAUUGACUGAUAACUCCACAAGUAAGGCAUCAAAAGUAAAGCCACUAUCAUAUGAUACCGUAUAAAUUAUAAUCUUGUUAGAAUUAACUUGAAUUUCACGUCCAAGAUAAAAGUCCACUCAGUUUUUUAUUGUACUGGUUUUUGGAAGAAUACUAUGAAUGAUUAUACUUUCAUAAUCCCUCAAGUGUUUUGGCCUGAACAUAUAGUUAUUUAAAAAUUGUAUUUGUUAAUACAAAUGUUAGUUCAAGAAUUUAGUAGUAUUUCUCACAAAUAAUACAACUAAAAUUCUAAUAUAUAGUUGUAUUGAGUUAAAAUUAUUAUUAUAAUAUUAUCAGUCACCUUUUACCUCUAAAGAAAACAACUGUAAACAAUGAGAGAGAGUUAAGGAAAAAGGUAUUAGAAAUAUCCAUAUUUGAAGUAAGGAGAUAAAUUAUUGAAAAAAUUAAUAUUUUGAGAAAUUGCUUAUCAAAUGAGUUCUUGCUUGUUGUGGUAUUAUACCCUCUCAUGUUCACUACAGUUGUUCUGGCUGUGUUCUGAUAUUACUCAGUUUUCCUUAUAAAAAAUGUCCUUUAUAUGUGUUCUUAUACUAUUCACUUUACUCAGAAACUUCCUUUUAAUUUUUUUUUUACACCCGAAAACUUUCUCUUACAACUGUUCAAACUAUUUAUUUAUUGUAUUGUAAAAAUUCACUCUUGAAUAUGUAAUGACCAUUAAUUUUUCCUGAGCAUGUUCUGUUAUCUUGAUUUUACCAACAUUCAAUCUUGUGUUUUCGGCUCUCAGUGUAGCCUGGUAUAGAAAUAAUUUAUAAAUUAUAAUACCCUUUUUUUUGUCACACUAUUUCUUAAACUGUGAAAUGAAUGUUUUUCUCCUUCCAAAUUAUACAUCAUAAACGGAUAUCCUUAUUUCUAUUAUAGAUAUUUGGUUGUAAGAAAUUUUGAAUUGUUUAUUUUUUUUAUAAAUGAUUACGGAUGCCUUUUAAUUUUGAACAUGGCUACCUUUUUAACUGUGAUUAUUGAUUUCCUGGCUUAUAUUUCGAGAUGCUGGUUUUUUCAUUAUAACCUGUCAUUCCAGCAGUAGUUGGGUAAUCUUGUACACACGCAUACACUUAAUAAAGCUACUUUUUUCACAGUUAAUUUAACUGUGUAUGUGUAUAUGUAUACGCACACUAUAUAAUACACACACACAUAACAUGUAAAAUCUACGUUGUCACUAGCUAACCACAUGACAAUGUUAUUUGUAAGAAAAAUUAUACUCAUUCAAUUUAGGAAUGUUGUAUGCAUAUGUUAAUUUGAAAGUUUUAGUUAUAAAGAUCAAAAUGAUAAAAACUUUCGAUUCAUAUGUCAUUCUUAUUCUUUGUCGAUCUGUUGAUUUUGGACUUUUUUUCAUUAGGGAAUACAGGGAGUAAUUUGUAACA